GGCCUUGCUCUUAUGUCAUCUGACUAAAGGUUUCAUAGACCAAAGAUAACCAUCCAACCUGUUGGAAUACUGAAACAAUUGCUGCCUGCUGUCCACACACGACAUAAAAUAUGUGGAUUUCCUAAAUUCUGAAAAAAAGAUUUGGAAGCUGAUCAAGCAAUACUGGAACAGCCUCUUCUCCAGAAGAGACAUCCUGGCCUCCAUGCAGAGGAAUGUGUGGAUGGACAUAUAUUUAAGGAAGACACUAAACCAGAAACUACUACAUUACACCCUCUCAGAAGACUUCUAAGAUUGUUGUCAUGCCCACCAGAGACAUUCAGAUGAUGUGUAUUCUUGAUUGUGAUUUCAUGUUUGGAGCUGAUGAAGGAGUUUGAAGUCUCCAGAGCAGCAAGGGGAGUGGGGAGUAGAACUCAUCAUCUUUAGGUCACUCAUCAUCG
rnacentral:lncRNA from 1 species